AGAGACGGAAAUGCUGUCGUCACUUAGUACUUUAAAAAGUGCAGGAAUUUGAGGCCCUUUCCUUCCGGAUCAUGUGAACUAGCUAGAGAUUUCAGGCAUAUCGUUAGACUACUAAUCCCUGCUGCGUGGUGUGUUCCGCGGCCUUGUCCGGGAGGGCUGCCUCAGAUCUGCGGGAAAGGUUCCGGGCAAAAUCCGACAGGCGUAGGAAAGCGGGAAAGGAGGACCCCGGCGCUGGCGCGGGGAAGCGAGCUGUAGCAGUCAAGGCGCAUUCCCACCUUGUGUGGACGCUGGUUACCGUGGAUCUGUCCCCGUCUCUUGCAGAUGACUUCACAUUUGUAAAGAUACGCCAUUGAUCGCACGGAAAUGUACGAUAGCAUUUGUUAGGCCUCUAUCGAAGGGCUUACCGUGUACGCACUGUUGACCAGGACUCUGAAAAUGAAUUGAAAUAAGAGGUGGGCUGAGUUCCCUGGAGCUCCAUCAGACAGGACUGUGAAGUGAUACUCAAAGCAAUUAGAGACGGCCCGUUGAUGGUCGCUAACGAAGGACCAAAUUCUACAUGGACAACUUUUGACCGUGGGGACUGUGGGCUAGCCCAGAAGAGGAAAGAACGGUGUAGGUUCGCGCAAAAAAUAGAACACGAGCUAGUUUCCCCUAUGUGGAUUUAAAUGCCAGCCAUCUCAGCUCCGCCCCUUACUAACUCCAUCCCUUGGGCAAUAUUUCAUCCUCUCCACCUCAGUUUUCUUGUAAGUAAAAUGGAGAUGAUAAACGCACUUACAGAAUUAUUAUAUGAAGCACUUAGGACAGCAAGUGCCCAGGAAAUGUUAGCCAUUAUUAUUUACAAAUCACUUUAUCCUAAAUUCUCUCACUUUCCUGAGUCCAUUAGGAUAGAUAUCAGCCGCAUUUGAACAAUACAGCAAGUGAGGCUCGGAGACAUUAGGCAAUUUGCAUUCUUUCACAUAUCCAAAACAUUGCCAAAAUGUUGUCCAAAAUAUUGUAUAGGAUAUAUAGGACAACAGGGGUAUAUAGGAGUAUGUCUGCACACUUUUGUAAUCAUUCAUUACUAUCAAUUCUUUAAAAUUACGACAAUUAGGUGAAAAAAUGUUGCUGUUAUAUUUAUUUUGUAAUGAGGAUGAACAACUUUUCACAUGUAUAAAUGUGUAUGUUUCCCUUCUGUGAGGUGGCCUGUUCAUGUUCUUUGCCUAUUUCUAUGGAAUAUCUUGUAGGAUUUUAAAGCAAAGAAUAAAAUGAUCACACUGAUGUUUAAAGAAAACAAGGACAGUGUGGAGUAGGGAUGAUUAGAGGAGUGGAAGCAGUUAGAUUUCAGCCAUAAUCCUGUAGAGAGGUGAGUAAUUAGAAUGGGAAAGACCAUUACUUUGGAAAGUAAUAGAGAAGUAGGAAUCUGGCAUGAUUUUCAUGUUUCUAUUUGCCAGGGCAGAUAAUGCAGAAAAAAGAGCAGCUUUGGCAAGGUAGAUGGAGAAUCUAGACUUGGGACACUUUUGGCUUAAUGCGCCUGUGAGAAAUGCAAAUGCCAUGUACACUUAGAAUUCAAACAAGAGGUUUAGGUUAAAAAUUUGUGUUUCAUCAAUUCUAAUAUGCAUAUUUUCCCACAUUUAAAAAUCUCUGAAAUAGGGAUAUAUCUUACAUUUGAUUAUAUAUUUCAUAAUUAUUUAGCAGUAGGUUUUUUUCUUAGUGCUACAUAAGAUGACUUUGUGUUUUACAACUCGUGGUAUCUUUGAUGAAAAAAGUAUAAUUCGUGGACUUUACCUUACUGGUGUUAGUUGGAGCUUAUUAAUACUAUCAUCUACACAGGAAGGUACCCAGAUUUGUGUACUGAAGGGGAGAAAAGGAAAUAUAAUAUCUUCCUUCUUGGCCUAAAGCAACUUGUACUUGUCAUUCAAACCCUAUGUGAAGAAAGGAGAACUUGUUUCUUAGUUAGGUUGAACUUCCAUCUCAUUCAAGGCUUUUACAGGUCCUCACUAAGUGAGACCAGUUGGUACAUACCUCUCCUCCACGUAAAAAUCAGGACUUCUCUGAAUGGAGCAUUUUUCAGCCAUCCAGGAUAUGCUCUGACAGCUGGCUUCAAUCACAGGGAACUGGUGGGGUCCAAGAGUUAUUAAUAUUUCAAGGAUUUAAGCCCAGUGGUUUUCAACCUUAGCUGCACAUUGGAAUUUCUGGAGCACUUCAAACUAAUACAGGUGCCUGAGUCCCAUAAUUGCAGAAUCUGUGUAGAACAUUCCUAGGCAUUGGUAUAUUUAAAAGCUCCUUGGUGAUUCUAAUGUUCAGACAAGGUAGAGAACCACUACUGCAGCACAAGACUGGGAGUGCCAGUCAAACUAUUGGCUAAGCAGGGAGUGAAGACUUUCUCAGAAGUGUACCCUUGGCCACAGUGCAUGCUUAUGGUCAGAGAUGACAAACUUCAGAGAUCAUUGGAGCUAAGAAAGAAAACAGCAUAUGGACAGUAACAUCAACAGCAUUCAGUUCACUAGAGAAAAGGACUGGAAAGCAAGAAAGAAGUGUAUGUCUGUGACAUUCACUUCAAGACACACCUCCAACAAUGGCCAAAUACGAGUCUGAGAAGCAAGAGCUCAAGUGUCCAAGGGCAGGAGAAGAUGGAUGUCCCAGUUCAAACAGAAAGUGAAAUCGUCCUUCUUCUGCCCUCAAAUGGAUUCAAUGACACUCGCUUACAUUGGGGCCCCCACCCAUAAGAUGGCGAACUUCCUGCUUCUCUUCCGGGUCCUAGGUUCCCGCCGGCACCACCUAAACCCCAAUCACCCCUCACCCCACUAAUCCCAGCACCUAGCCAAUAGCCACCAGCCCCGUAGAAGUGACACCACAAUCACCCCAUGCCCCUUCCUAUAUAACCCAGCACCUUUCCCUAAUAAAGCGGAA